rnacentral:rRNA from 1 species
CGGCCGCGGUAUCCUGACCGUGCAAAGGUAGCAUAAUCAUUUGUUCCUUAAUUAGGGACUAGUAUGAAUGGCCACACGAGGGUUUAACUGUCUCUUAUUUCUAAUCAGUGAAAUUGACCUUCCCGUGAAGAGGCGGGAAUAAAAAAAUAAGACGAGAAGACCCUAUGGAGCUUAAAUUAUAUAACUCUGAGUUAUAGAUUUCGGUUGGGGUGACCUCGGAGUACAAAACAACCUCCGAACCAAGAUUAACAAAUCAAAGUCAAUCUAAUUGAUUAACGAAACAAGUUACCCUAGGGAUAACAGCGCAAUCCUAUUCAAGAGUCCUUAUCGACAAUAGGGUUUACGACCUCGAUGUUGGAUCAGGACAUCCUAAUGGUGCAGCAGCU